AUGAGAUGGAUUGUCAAGAUGGCUUCUUAUUGGACAAUCUGCACAGUGCCUGGGCCUCACCCAAGCACUUCCCCAUUAGCAAGCACUUUCCUCCUUUGCUCUUUAGCCAUUGGCUCUCCUCCCACAAACACACUCUGUUUUCUUCUCUGCAUUUCCCACAGAUAUUCACAAUGUUCUUCUCCCUCGUUUUCUUCAGUCCACUAUUAUUUUCCCUUUGUUAUUCUGUCCCCAUCCCUAGUGGCUCCUUUCUUUUCUCUCUCACCUUUUCCUCCCUUCUCUACUGGUAUGUUUCAUCUCCCCCCUUCCUCACCUCCCAUGACAUCUUCCUUUUGUCUCUCCCCACUUCUCUUUUUCCAAUGGUCCCUUCCAUCUUUCUCCCUCCCUCUUCUUCCUAACCCACGGUUCUUUCCCUUUGUCUCUCCCCAUAUCCCAUUUCCAGUUAUACCUUCCCAUUUUCUCUCACCCUUUUCUACCCCCCCAAUGGCGUCUUCCUUCUCUUCCCCUCCAACCUCUAUGGUCUCUUCUCUUUGUCAUCCUCACUCUCCUUUUUUCAGUGGUUUCUUCUUUCAUUCUCUUUCCCUAUUGCCUAAUCAAUGGUCCAUUUUCUUAGACCAUUUCCUCCAUCCCCAUCCCUAUUCACCUUUUUUUUAUUUUCUCUCUCCCUUCUCCACCUGUCAGUGCUUUCUCCUUUUUAUUGCCUCUCUCCCUUCUCCAGCUGGCAGUGCUUUCUUCCUUCUUCCUCCAUCCCCUCUCUUCUCUUCCUUUCGUCUCAUCACCUCCUUGUCCUUUCCCAAGGGACCCUUGCCUCUUUUUUCUCUCUUAAAUACCCAGGGGUAUUUCUCUUUGCCCCCUGCCUCUAUCCAUAUAGAUUCCUUCUCACUGUCUCACUCCUCCUUGUUUAGUGCUGUCUUCCUUUUCCCUCCCUUUAUUUCCCUCCAUCCCCUCAUGUUGUCCCCCUCCCUUUCUUUCCCAAUAAUCUCUUCCCUCUGCCUCUCUCCCCUCUUCCUAGUGAGCUUUCCUUUUAUUCUCUCUGUCUCUCUGUCUCCUCCUCUUGUAAUCUUUGUCUCUCUCUCACACACACCAAUAUUAAUAUUAUUAUAUGUAAUAUAUCAUGUCAUUAUAUGUAAUAAUAUGUUAUCAUAUUAACAUAUUAUUUAUAUUAUAUGUAAUAUAAUAACAUUAUUUAGAGCUCAGUGGACCUUAGGGGCUCAUCUUUUUAGAGCACCAGAAAUGGAGGUUUAGACAGUUUAAAUGACUUGCCCAGGGUCAUAUACCUAAUAAGUUUGUGAGGAAGGAUUUCAAGUGCGAUCAUCCUGUCUCCAAGUAUUCUGCUAGGAGAGCUGGCUGCUUCUCCCCACUCAAGGACCCUUUGCUACUUGUCUCUGCUGACUAGGUAUCUCUCCUACUUAGUGGCCUAUUAUUUCUAAGUCUUUUACCCUCAGCUCUCACCCAUCUCAAGGGCUUUCUUUGCCCUCUGUCAUUCAGAGGACCACAUACUUGCAGUGGAAUGAUGGGAAAUAAGGCCAGCAACAUCAUUCACAGAAAAGGAACUGAAGCUUGGGUCUGGCCUUUUCACUCCCUUAUUUGGCCGCCUCCCCUGCCCCACAUCUGGAAUUGUCCUUCCUCUUCCUGUCUCUCUUACUCUUAGUCCCCCAGCACUCACACGAACCCCUAUUCCCUUGGCCUCUGGUCUCACACCCCAAUCAACUACCUACAGUUGAUUUCUGCUUCUUCUGUCUAUUUGUGUGUCCUUUCCUCUUGCUGCUUCUCCAUCUCUGUGUCUCUCCACUGAUCCCUCCACCUUGCUCUGGAAUCUCCUAAUUGAUACUUCCCUUCCAAUCUAUCCUUUUUCUCCAUCUGCUCUAUUUUCCUCCUGUCUCUCUUCCCUCCUCAGAAAGCUAUUAGGUGACUGGUACUGGCACUAAAUGAGAGGUGGCCAUUAUCUUUUUUUCUUUUUUCUAAAAUUAAUUAAUUAAUUUUUAGUUUUCAACAUUCACUUCCAUAAGAUUUUGAGUUUUCAAUUUUCUCUCCCUCUCCUCCCCCCCCCAUCUGAUUUAGGCUCUACUUAUACAUUCAUAUUAAACAUAUCUUCCCAUUAGUCAUGAUGUAAAGAACAGUUAGAACUAAUGGGAGGACCCAUGAGAAUGAAGCAAUAAAACAAAACAACAAAGGAAAAGGAGAGCA
rnacentral:lncRNA from 1 species